rnacentral:lncRNA from 1 species
AUAAACUAUAAUGUUUGCCCUUUCAAGUUGAAUCUUGCUUCUAAUAGUAUCAAGCACUUUGUGCUAAAAUUUUUUUUACCAUUAUAUUUUUGAUAAUUUCUAUCUCUUAAAUUAUAUUAUUUUUCCAACGGCUUCUAAAACGCAAAUAGGUCACUAUCAUUCUAACCCCACGACCCGUUGAUCCAAGGGCUAAAACUCAUAAAUACCAAUGACCCUUUAAUCACUUGAUAAAUAAUGUCGAAAAAUUAUAAAAUUCGGUUACUACAUAAUUCUAAUAACGUGGAUUGUGUUUAACAUAGCCGAUCUUCGAAUCAGAUAUUAUACAAGAUUUUCGUACUUUCAAAAGCACAGAAGACGUACAUAUUAUAUAUAGAGAGAGAGAGAGAUUUACUCAAAUAAU